AUUGAACGCUGGCGGCAUGCCUUACACAUGCAAGUCGAACGGAAGCACGGGAGCAAUCCUGGUGGCGAGUGGCGAACGGGUGAGUAAUGUAUCGGAACGUGCCCAGUCGUGGGGGAUAACGUAGCGAAAGCUACGCUAAUACCGCAUACGAUCUGUGGAUGAAAGCGGGGGACCGUAAGGCCUCGCGCGAUUGGAGCGGCCGAUAUCAGAUUAGGUAGUUGGUGGGGUAAAGGCCUACCAAGCCGACGAUCUGUAGCUGGUCUGAGAGGACGACCAGCCACACUGGGACUGAGACACGGCCCAGACUCCUACGGGAGGCAGCAGUGGGGAAUUUUGGACAAUGGGCGCAAGCCUGAUCCAGCAAUGCCGCGUGCAGGAUGAAGGCCUUCGGGUUGUAAACUGCUUUUGUACGGAGCGAAAAGGCUCUCUCUAAUACAGGGGGCUCAUGACGGUACCGUAAGAAUAAGCACCGGCUAACUACGUGCCAGCCGCCGCCGUAAAAC
rnacentral:rRNA from 1 species